rnacentral:tRNA from 1 species
CACUAGGUGGCUGACAUAAGUAUAUAUUUUUUAAAUAUAAGUAAGAUUUUUUUUAUCCUUAGUGA